AUGUGUGACAGAAACACUCAUACCUUUCUCGGCCUUUUGGCUAAGAUCAAGUGUAGUAUCUGUUCUUAUCAGUUUAAUAUCUGAUAUGUGGGUCAUCGGCCCACACGAUAUUAAAUUUAUUUCUUGAGGGGAAGAGCCCACCACAGUAGCUUGCUACUGGGGCUCUCAAGCGUCGCCCAUGCGUUGCACUACUGCACAGGCCUGGCGCACCCCACCCAAUUCUAGUACGAAGCUUCACAUGUUUGCUUAAUUUAUGUGGAUGACCGAAAUCUUCUGUAUGUUUUCUAAAGCCAUCAAGGUUUCUCCAUGUUUUCUAAGCCAUUAAGCUGCAGUCAGAUGCUUUCUGUAUGUUAAUCACAGCUGAAUUAAAAGUCUAGAAUAAAGCAUCCAACCAUGUCAAAUGAUCCAUGAACAGUUAUGUGAAGUGUCGGCCAAUUAUUUCACUCACAAUGUGAAGCAUUAUUGUACCAGUUUGUGCGUGCAAGAAGACUAAUCAGAGCCUUUCCUAGUAUUAUAUAGAAGAGGAAGAGUGUUUGCUCAAAAAAAA